GGAGAGCGGUGCGAGGGCAGCGCCCGCCGGAUUUUAACUCGAUGGAAUGUACAGCAUUCUCAGAUGCCUGCUUCUCAUCAGUCUUAACAGCUUAGCACAAAUAACUUCCCUGUCGAGAGGUGGGCCUCCUGUAGAGUAAUUACAAUUCCUGGAAAACAGUAAAUGGCUAAAUAUGAGUGCAUUUGAAGUGUUAUGUGCUCCUGCCACCGAAGGGAAAAACUCAUACCUGUUGGGGACCUGGGACCUACACCAUGAACUUCACCCGACACUGUAGUGAACGAUUCUACCAAAUAAACUAGAGAAGAGUAACCAGUGAAGUCAGCACAACUCUCAGAAUUGACUAGUUUCCCACUUACCAAGAUGAAGCCACCAGUCAAGCCACUUCAAUUACAACUGUUUAAAAGCCUGGAAAAGAAGUUAAAUCUUGCUCAGAAAUGUCAAGUUGUCCAGAAAAGGACAGUUUCAGUCUCAAGUAUAAAAGUUUGCCUUAUUCUGGUGUGGCUGACAAAUAGGCAGCUCAGUUGAAAGCCUAUCAGUACUUAGUUAGUCCUGGGGCUUUUUCCCUAUUUCACUUGGUAUGAAAGUUACAUUUAUUACAUUAAAGUUAACAGUAAUCCUUGACUGUAAUAAAAGGAAACCAGAGAUCUAACUGUUUACAUGUGUUUGAGUGUUCUGGUUAAACUGCUGCUUGUUUACCUCUUCAGAUGCUAUCUUCCACAUGAUGUGCAGAAGUGGCUUCCCUCUCCUUUUUUAAUUUUCUUCUCUCUUUGAACUAUACAAGAUGACUAUCCCUAACUAUUUAGUUUCCCCGGUACUUUCCAUAUAUCAAUAAACAACAUUUUGUGUGCCUGCAGGAGUACAUUUAUAGCGAAACUGCUUUGUAUACACACCUUGGAAAUUUAAAUAAGUAUAUGGGUUGAAUAAAUACACAGUGAUCUAGUUCAGCUGGGGGUGGAGGGGCAGAGUUCAUUUCUGGCCAGCACAGACCAUGACUUCAAACUUGGUUGGCUUGAGCAAUACUCUAAUGAGACCUGUGGCCAGAGUACCUGCUCAACCAAGAGAGAAUGAUUUCCUCAGGCAGGACAGUCAGUGCUGUAGGUGGUGGUGUUCUUGCUUGGAGCUUGACAGAAGGAUAACUGCUCCUCUGAAGGAUCAGAGUAAGACAUGUUAAAAAACACCCCAUGUGUGUUGUAACUUUGACUGGUCUGUAGGGCUCUGAUAGAUUCCACUUAAAUUUUGAAUAUUACUUCCUGUGAGAAGGUGAUUGCAGCUACCCAAGUUGGCAGUUUUGCUUUUGGAGACCACCCUUCCCCCAUAUACACAACAAAUUUAAAUUCUGUUCUGCAGAGGCAUGGUACUUUCUUUUACUGAUUGAACUCACAUAAGAAAGCAGCACUUGGCCCUCAGCUUUAUUUGAGCAGUGCUCAGUUCCUUUGAAACUGGGAUUGUUUCCAGAGCAUUCAGGAAUGGCUUUCAUAGCAGCACUUUAGUUUAGAUAAUGUAUGCUGGCCUUUUUUCACUCCUAAGGACCUGAAUAUAGUCUUCUCUUUACAUAAUAGGAAAUUUGUGGUGCCAUCUAAAGGACACUCUGUGCCCACUACAAACCACCGUGCAGCUUGGCACAACCUAUAGCCAAGGAUUUGGGGAGUAGAGAUGGGGAUAAUAAAUUAUUCAUGACUCUGUUACAUGCUUAGUUAUGUAGGAAAAGCUUGAAUAGAAGCAAACAUACAGCUGUAGGGGCUUUUUUGCUUUGGCCACAUGACUUUGGGCACUGUGUUGAUCUUAAAUGUCAUGUUUAGGCUUCUGGAGUUCUGUCUAUGUGUCCAGUCAGUUGGGUUAAGUAAUUUUCUACUCUACAACUACCUUCAGAAUACAUGAAUUUUAACUGAGUUCAAUCAAUUUAUUGGACAACUACAACCCAAGAGUUGGGCAGGUGAAAGAUCUCCUUGCCUUUGUGUUUUUCCACUCAGUUUUAAAUUUUCUUGAGUGCUGGGAUCACCCAUUUUGCAUCUGAGCUGCUAUCAGCCCGCCACAGUUUGAAUUUGCACUUGGCAUCAUGUGUCAGCACACACUUGCAGCUCUGCUGAAUUACAUGGAGUAGGGAAUGCAGGUGUGGGCUGGCUUCCAUGUGGAUGUGGGAUGGAUGGCCUGGUCACACAAGCUUGGUGGGCUGGAGUUACUCUCUCAAAAUGUUUUGAAAAAAAUUGAAUUAGCAGAGUGGUUUGUUGCUUUUUGUUACAUGGCUGUGUCUAGCAGCCAGAGCCUUGAAACCAAGCCUUACAACAGGAGCUUGUAUUACUCCAGC